CGACAUUUGCCAAAGAUAUACGAUGAGAAUCACAAAGAUCAUGAACUAGCCACAUCGUCUCCAGUUUCAACUACCAGCAUUCAGCUGUCAACUUUACACCGGCUUAUGCUACAAGCAAAUAUGAAGACUCUCAAGCUACCUCCUCAGGUCGACUUAAGACUCGGGGGCUACACAAUCAUGGCUUGAUAGAUUUAGUCAUUGUCAACAAAUUCAAGAACAUCGGAUCAUUGCAAGGAAGAUAACCCGGUUCCGAGGGCUAAUGCCUUAUCGGCGAAAAAAUAAAGAUUGCCAUAGAGGACCAUCUGCCAUGAUGUGCUAUUCAGACAUAAGUAUCUUCCUUUAUUGGAUCAUCAUAUUAUCAUAUAUUAUGAUCAAUGGAAUAAAGUCGGCUUAUCUGAACCCCUGAUGUUUUGCAGUAGUAGCAUUGUCUCAUGUAUAUCCUAUGCUGAGCUUUUCCAUGAUCAUAGGUAACUUGGGGCUUCCAACUCAUCGAGUUUAGCUUUCUCACCCUGUUGAUCGAGCAAAGACGCCAUAAAAUGGUUAAACCUGCCUGUAUGCUUGAGGCGACUCUCAUUAGGUGACCCCGUGUACUCUUGGCAAAACAAUCCACUUUGGACCCUGAUUGAUUAAGGGUCAAACAUUAGCUUGAGUCGCGUGAGAUCCGGCAUACAAAGACCUAAGAUAAACCAUGGGUUAUCAUACCCUGUUCAUUGAAGCAAGACUUGAGCCUCGAAAUCCAGUCUCACUUAGCUGGCUUGUUAACAGUACUUUAUUAUUAUUACUACAUGUUAUUACCUCAUAACCUUUAAGUACAAAUACUAUUUUUAUUGUCGGCUCAUAAUGUGUAUCCGGGUCAUGAAACUGCAGUCAUAUUAUGACCAGUUCAAUCAUACAUCUUCUACAACAAUGUAGAAUGAUUCACACCUGCUUCAUUGAAGCAAGAGUCGAGACUCGAAAGACGGUCUUUAUGUCAUGCCUUGAAAACUGACAUUUUAUACUAUGUUAUCAUACACAUGAAUCAUCCUCCAUUGCAUCAUGCAUCAUACAUA
rnacentral:lncRNA from 1 species